UUUCACUUCUGAUGCCGCCAUUUUGACGCUAUCAUACCUUUGUGCUAUUGCUGAAUUUCUGCUGACAUUUGCCUCACGAUCUGCUCAUCACCAGUUAUUGUCACUAUGAACUCCUACACCCAAGGUUGAAGAUAGGCAGCCCCGUCUCCCCGAGACUUAUCAGCCAUCGUCAAAGCGAACCUCUCCAGUUGAUAUGUAUCGCGCCUGUCGUGAACAUUUGUCACUGAAAUGUAAUAAAAUAUGUGGAAACGUAA
rnacentral:misc_RNA from 1 species